AUACGGAGGGUCCAAGCGUUAUCCGGAUUCAUUGGGUUUAAAGGGUCCGCAGGCGGGAAAAUAAGUCAGUGGUUAAAGACUACAGCUCAACUGUAGAACUGCCGUUGAUACUGUUUUUCUUGAGUAUAGAUGAAGUGGGCGGAAUAUAUCAUGUAGCGGUGAAAUGCAUAGAUAUGAUAUAGAACACCGAUUGCGAAGGCAGCUCACUAAACUAUUACUGACGCUCAGGGACGAAAGCGUGGGGAGCGAACAGGAUUAGAAACCCUUGUAGUCC
rnacentral:rRNA from 1 species